rnacentral:rRNA from 1 species
CAACCCUUGUCACUAGUUGCCAUCAUUUAGUUGGCACUCUAGUGAGACUGCCGGUGACAAACCGGAGGGAAGGUGGGGAUGACGUCAAGUCCUCAUGGCCCUUAUGGGUAGGGCUUCACACGUCAUACAAUGGUCGGUACAGAGGGUUGCCAAGCCGCGAGGUGGAGCCAAUCCCUUAAAGCCGAUCGUAGUCCGGAUCGUAGUCUGCAACUCGACUACGUGAAGUCGGAAUCGCUAGUAAUCGCAGAUCAGCAUGCUGCGGUGAAUACGUUCCCGGGUCUU